rnacentral:rRNA from 1 species
CGUGCAGCCGGGCAUGCAAGUCAGAUGUGAAAUCUCAGGGCUUAACCCUGAAACUGCAUUUGAAACUGUAUGUCUUGAGUGCCGGAGAGGUAAUCGGAAUUCCUUGUGUAGCGGUGAAAUGCGUAGAUAUAAGGAAGAACACCAGUGGCGAAGGCGGAUUACUGGACGGUAACUGACGGUGAGGCGCGAAAGCGUGGGAGCGAACA